rnacentral:lncRNA from 1 species
CCCCACUAGGCUAUAAAUAGAGGGGCAGACCCCCCUCCCAGAGAACACCCCCAGAUUCAAUUCAUUCCUCCUGCUUCAUUUGUAAAGAGUAGUCAGAAGUUAGGGUUUCCAGAGAUUAGAAGUAGAGCUCUAGUUCUUCAAGUUCUUAGUUUAGGCAUCUAGGGAGAUUCAAGUAGAGAUCGGGCACUCCGCUCGGGAUUCCAGAUCUGUCUUCUAGAAAUUGGUAAUAUUAUCUUGUAUUUCAUUAUGACUUUGCUCUACUUCAAUAUAUUGCUAUUUAUUUAGUUCUUAGUUUAUUCUAGUUGCAUAUUCGAUAUUGAUGUGGUUUAUGAUGAUUAUUGUUAUAUGAUCGUAAAGCUCCUGAUUCAGUACUCGAGUGAGUCAGGUGGUGCACAGUAUGUAGACGUGGUGUCUAGAUAUUUUGUGUACCUACAGAGGCACCCUGACGUGCCAGGUCAUGUGGUAGUCCAGCUGCGUUGGUUCCUCUGUAGUCCACCCCCCAUACAUAGGACUAGCAGAGCGCUUUCGUGAUGGAGGUGACGGUUGCAUCUUAAAACCCACAUUAGUUGAUGCUCCUUAUGAUGUUUUCUGAGUUUAUCACACUAUAGAUGAAAAUUUGUAGCAUGGCAUAGGCUAUAGACUUUAUAGUAGUAAUUACAUAGGUUUCUUUUAUUUGAAUAUCAUGACUGUCUUGCUACAUUAGUGAGUCUUUAUUUUCGAUCUCUGGAAUAUCAUUUACUUCAUUACUCAGUUAUCAUUUAUCAUAUUUUAUCGAUUAGUUAUCGCUAAAGCAUUAGUACUAAUGGUUAUGAUAGAUUUACAUAAUUAUAAUUUCCUUAGUUCAUAUGAGAUCACCUAAGCCUAAUGAAUAGAAUGCUGCUUUAUCCUUUUGGCGUAAAAUAAAUCAACGAUACUUGGAAUACUUCCUAGGUGAAAUGCUGAAAUGGGAGAAUUAUCUGUGCGCUUGCGGAUAUAUUCUAUUUAGAGUUAUUGCGUGUAGAUUAUUUUUAUCCUUGGAUUUGGCAUCAUGUUAGGGAUGACAACUUAAUAUGAAGUGAUGCUAAAAAAUACCAUCAAUCUUCCAAAGUCUUCUCCCAUCCCGUUCGUGAUAUUUUUCGUGGUGGAUAAGUUUCGUGUUUAUUUUGCACUUGAAUCCCUCUUUUCAGCUUUUCUGGAAUUCACCCUGGAAAAUACAGAAUAUACAAAACUCAUGGAAAUUUUUAGUUUAAACCCUAUACUAGUGUGUUUUCAUGUUCUCCUUCGGGUUUAAAGUUCUAAUAAAAGUUGACGUUAUCGACCGUCAACAAUAGUCACAAUAGUUGUGUUGUUAUUAAUAUCAAAAACCAAAAUAGGGCCUAGAUGCUUCUAAUGUCUAAGUGUGCAAUCUUGUACAUAACAUGUAAUAUUCUUGCUCCAUGAUUUUUUAGUAAACACAUGUGUUUUAGCAUAGAAAUAAACUAUAAGUAAGAAAACUACAUGAGUCAAUGGGCAAAGUAUUUUCUAAAGGUAAUGCUAAUUUUGUGCUUGUAUAAGAUAUGGAGCAUCAUUGCUUGAGAAAUGUUUUUAUAUAUAAGUAUAGAUGACAGUACAAUGUAGACAUAGGUGCUAGUGCCAUUCUCAAUGUCUUCAACAUUAAGAACCAUGACAGCGGAGUAGUUGCUCUAUACAUUUGACACAAAAACAUAGGUUAUACUGAGGAAGCAUGUAUGUGAUAGAUGUUGACACUUCUAAUACCAUUUAAGCUAAGUUGUCAUCCCUAGCAUGACACUAGAAGUGUUGGGAUAAAAACUGCUCCUCUAAUGAAAUAAAUAUAGGAUCCGCAAGCGUACAAAUUAAAUACCGCUCUAGCACUUCACCGGAAAGUAUUCUAGGUACUGUUAUUUAUAUUUAGCUCAAGGGAAAGAACUAAGGACUUAAACAAUGAGAUAAACUUGCAAAACAUUACUAUUUUAUGAGUGAUAGGUGCAUAGUCACAUACUUGGUAGGGGGUAAACCAUGAUAGAUAAAUAAUAAGAAGUAUAAAGCUCAGGGAAUAAAUCACGCAAAGAUUAGAGAUAAACUACUUAUCAUAAAGGUAGGUUGUCGUCUGAUUAGUUCAAGAGAUAGAAAAUUCUAGGUAGCUCUAAUCUACUAAGUCAUUCAUCUACUCUAACGCUACACUAUCAUAUAUAGCACAAAAGACUCUUCAUCUAUGUACAAGGAACAUUGCUAUAAAAAGGCAAGACAUAUCAAGACUUCCUAUACAAUUGUGGUACUACCUGUCCUAUCAACGGGGGAUGGAAUACGAAGGACUCAUCAAAACUAUCACUUCCACGAUCUACCACACAACCUAGCCAAUAGGGUGCAUUUGCAGGUAAACGACAUCUAAGCACCAUGCUUACAUGAAAUCUACCACCUAACCCUCCCGCGAAGAGAGCUAAGCGCUUUGCAAACAUAUACAUAAACUCAUUACCAAUCAUAACCAUAUCAAAUGUAGAACUACAAUAAACUAGGAACAUAAUAAAUAAUAAUGAUAUUUAGAAUAAAGCCACAAAGAAAGAUACAAGAUAAUACAUAUCUUUGAUGAUGAAGAUCCAGAAUUCUAAGCAAAGCGCCCAACUCUUCCUCUAUCUAGUCUAAACAUAUGUGGAACUUGAAGAAUUGGAAUAGCUAUUCUAAUUCUCCAGUGGAGAGAUCUCUAAACCCUAGAUCUACUGAUGACUCCCUUUACUUCUUAGUUCUCAAAUGAAUUAGAUAAUGAAUUAGGGUUUCUCCCAAGGGGAGAGGCCCUGAAUAUAUAGCCCUCUAGAAAGCACCACAGCUCUCGGAUCAAACCGACCUAAACAGGUGGUCAAGAUUGCUCCUCAAGGUCAGUGGAGGCAGUAUCCACGAGACCCCCCUGAUUGGUCUAGGGGGAGGGGUGGCUGCCUAGAGAGCUUGGGCGCCUGCCCAGGCACAAUGCUAGGUGGGCCCCAGCUUUAGGGUGCUGCCUUCCCAAGUCUUCUAGAUUGUUCUUUGAUUAAACGAUGUGGUAUUCUCUCUAUGUAAAUCCAACAUGUGGGCCUCCUUUGGUUAAUUCCUGAUAACCCCCUAUAGAAACAGACAUUCACCAAAAUUCAUGAAAAUUGUCAAUGAAAGCCCUAAGUCUAUAGUGAUAUUCAUUUUAUAUCCCCUUUUCUCUCCUUGAUUGACAUAUAAAAUUGAUGGUUAACAACCAUCAACAAACUCCCCAAGCUUACCUUUUGCUCGUCCCUGAGCAAACAACUACAAGAGAUUGAUCAAGAGUUGCUACAAUACUUUCACGCUUUAUAGGUACACAUGCUUCAAACAAGAGUUCAUCCCCAGACUAGAGUGGACUAUCAUAACUUCCAAACUUACUAAUGUUUCUUCCAACAAUGGGGGCUUUUACCUGAACUUGGGUCAUAGGCAGUUGAGAGAUAGAACAAUUAAGUCAAGCACUGUUGUCUCAUGCUCUAUUGUUCCACCUCUAUUCUGGAGUUUUUAUAAGAUUUUCACAAUAAAACUCAGAGUUCCUUAGCAUGAUCCUUUCAAAUCUCUCAAUAUGUGAUAUUUUUGGAUCCUCUCUAAGGCAUUGAAAGGAGUGAUGCCCUUUUCUCUUUGCUCUCAGAAUAUAUGGUAUUUGUGGCACAAGGCAUUUAUACAUGAGUCUUCACUUUCUCACCCUAUAUCUAAUAAAGCUUAUGUGGAGCUCAUAGGUGUGGAGGUAACUAAUGCAUUGUGCCCGAUCGAACCAUGGAUCUAGAGGAACUCAUCAUAUAACCAAUAGUUGUGCAUGUGUGGUUUUAUAUGUGGGUGAUGGAAGAUAGAAAAUAUUUAUGGAAGGAGAAGGGGUGCAAAAUAAUUCUAAUGUUCCUUUAUUUGGGAAAUGAUUCCUCUAACUUUGAACUUUGGAAACUUGACGAUAAACUUGGGUUCAUAAAUCUUUGUUUUUCUUCUUCUCUCUUUUUUCAUAGAACUUUUGUCCAAUAUUUUCCUUGUAGCCCAACAACUCUUUUUGUAAAUGAAAAUUUUGUAGAGGAAUAAAAGAUAAAACUUGGAGCAUUGAACUUGAGGUAAAUGGCUAUCAAAUGAAUACGGGAAAUAUGUUUGGUGUUCACUCUCAGUGUAAGAGUGCAACAUUUUUAAAUAGGUGAGAUGGAAAUAUAUAAGUGGUGCGUACUUCUAGAGUAGAAGCAGCAAGGGGUGAACAUGAGUGUGUGAUACCGGGAUUUAACCAUAUGAUGAGUUCCUAAGGGUUGACACUGCUCGAGCAAACACAAGCCCUAUAAAUAUGUGGAGGCUUUCUAUUCUAAGUAUUCAAUUAUAGUUGUGGUUGCAAUUUAUACUCUCUAUCAUAUAAGGAACUCAUCAUGAAACAUUUUGAAUUUUUGCAAACAAACCUCUAGAAUUUAGCGACACCAAGAAUAUAAUAAACAAUAGCUCAGACUAUAUCAUAUCAUGUCCAUCAACUACCUAGACUUAGUUUAAGAAUAUGCUCCCACAGGUUUAAAAAGUAGAGUAAAUUCAGUUGUUGAACAGUGUAUCUAAUGCUUGGAAGAACUUAGGUUUAAAGGUAGGUACUUGAAAAGAAUUACGGCAAAGCAACUAGUCAUCAUUUCCAUCAUGCAUUCUUCGAGUCUACAUAUUUUAUUUAUAUCAAACUUAAUAGGAAAGUAAAGCAAACUCAUAUUACACACUCUUUAAGGAAGCCCAAACUUAAACAGUAAAUUAAACAACAAAUAUUUAUUUGGUUUUAUAUGGUUUUUUUAUUUUAUUAUAUGCGAUAAAAAGAAAGAAGGAAAGCUGGAAUGAAGGGAAAGAAAACUUACCUCGAUAAUGGGGAUCCUCCCCCAAGCUAGUCUUGAUGCACUGGAUCCUACAGGAUUUGCUGAAACACGAAAAUGUCAUUUAGGGUGCUGUUGGCUUGGUCUUGUCCUUCUCGAAUGGUGGCCAAGGCCUGGGUGGUGCCUAGGUUCCACUGAUGUUGGUCAUUCCACCGCUGCUCGUUAAGGGCUUGACCCUACUGGAGACUCUAGUGGGUGUUGUCGGUGUGCUGAUGGAAUGCCAUUUCUCUAUCAUAAUGCUGCUGAGUGUAAUGGAACCCAGCAGCCUUAGACCUACACCCUGGCUCGAAAUCCUAGUAAGGCUCUUCUUCUGUCCUUGUGUCGUAGGCAUCAAAUGAAUGUCCUCCUCCUCCUAGGGUCCCCUCUAGGGAUGAAUGGUGGUGGCUGGUAGUAUCCAUAGGGUUGAUGAGCUAGAUGGUAUGGAGGGUACACUCUAGGGUGUAGUGCGUGGUGCUGGCGUGCAUGCCACAUCAUAACUGGCAUGCACCGGACCCUCCUAAGCAGGGUCAGCUCCAUGCCAAACUAGCUCUUGCUGACGGACAAAUCUCUCAGAGGUUGUCCUCUGAGGAGCCCUCAUAUUGACUAGCCUAGCCUGCAACUCAACAUGCAGAGUCUGGACAUGAUACAAUGCCAUCUCUGGGUUAGGUAAAUGGAGGGUGGCCUCUCUAUAUGUCAUAAAUAAGUCACCCUUGAUUCUUUUCAUUAAAUGAGCAUGCAAAAAAUGUUUAUAGCAAAAAUAACUCUAUGCUCUUCAAUGAAAUCUAGAGAGGAACCAUCAAUCAGAGAAAGUUUCAUGGCUAAACGAGUGAUAAUAGAGCAAAUGGCCACAUCCCCUACUUUGUAGUGAGGAACACCCAACUAGUGGUCAACUAAAGCACGAAUAGGUGAUACCUUAAUUUUCUUUUACAGCUGCAUACAUUAGCUGUAAGUCUAUGAUUCUAACCUUGCUAGUGUCAUCACGGGGAAAGAAAACCAUACCCAACCAUUUGUGUAAGAACCUAAGUGUGGGAUGCUCUAUGUCUCCGGUGCGGUGUGCAUGCAAGAACAGUUCUUUAGAAAUGUUGGUCCAAAACCUAUGUGUGUCGUAAUCUCCUAAGGCUCCUACUAUGUCUAUGGGUGCAUCUAAGGGGAAGCCUAAGAGAUGACUAAGGUUUCUCCAGGUGAAGUAAAACUCUCGGGUGAGAAGUCUAAAAUAGACUCCUGUUUCAGUGAGUUGGAGAGUGCAGAGAAACUCUAUGGUCAAGAGUUUUGACCCUAACUCAGUGAUGUUUGCAAAAGUUUUCCAACUGACAAACUAAAAAAUGGUGUCGAGUUCAUCGGCCAUACCUGCCUCGUAUAGAAGUGUUUCAUCGAGGACUGGCAUGUGUGCGUAGCUCCAAUCUUUGAACUUCUUAUAGAUGGCCCUCUCCCGAGAAUCUCUCAAGGCAAGAUGAGAUGCCCUGAGGAGGAUCCUCUGGGGUGCAGAAGAAGAUGUUGACUGGGGGAUGACUGGGGGAUCGAUGCUCAUGUCGGAGCUGACCCUUGAUGAAGCAUACCGGGACGAGCUCGUUGUGCUCCUACCCAUGACCUUGUUGGCGAUUCCUUUGACCUAGCUCUUCAUCCUACAAAAAAUCUUACAACAAUACUAGUGCAAAAAGGGGGUUAGUUAAUAGUUAGUGGUUAGCCAUCCACAGUCAGCAGUCCAAAGGUUAGUCGUUCUUCCAAGAUUAAUUCUAGUUUGUAGUUUUGAUUUUGAUAGAACCUCCCCUCAUAUUUUAAAAUUCUUAUUCCUACCUGGACAGCAUCUCCACUAAUUUUCUAUGAGAUUCUUGCAGCACUACUCCUCUCCACACUAGCUCCUUGAGCUCUUGCUCAUACUCCUCGCUUCUCAGUUCUCACUCACUUCUAUACUAUUUCUACUCUCUCCUUCUCUCUCAAACUCUCUCUGUACAACUCAAAGUCGAGAGCAAGGUUACAGGCAACGAAAACUGAAUGUGUGGUG